rnacentral:misc_RNA from 1 species
ACCGAAGCCUGUAACCGCCUCCGGGCGUGACGGGCGGCUGGUAUCCUCCUUCUGAGGGGUGUAUGUUGCAGCUUGGGCCGGCCCUAAUGGGUCGCGAAUCCCCAAUCCUGCGGCGGACCAUCCCUUGGGCAACUCAGUGGGGGCAAUUGGAUGGCUCGUAGGCAUCUUCGGCGGCUUCGGCCCUGGAGGUGACUCGGGCCGGGCGCUGGGCUUCGGUCCACGUCCCGACCUUUUAACUAGCUCCGACACCUCUUCAUUGAGGGUUGCCGGGCAGGCCUUUUGUUCUUCGGGGCGAAGGGCCCACCCGGGAAAGAUAGUUACCUGGUUGAUUCUGCCAGUAGUCAUAUGCUUGUCUCAA